AGUCGACACAGCUACUAAUUGCUGUUGAGUGUGUAUUAAAAAUAUAAUUACGUCCUACAAGCUACAGCCGCCAUUAGAAAGUGUAGUCAAACAGGCAACAAUUUCAACGAUGACCUAUGGACAAUCUCGAGUAGAAUGAUGUCAAGAAGGUGUAGUCAUCCAGGUAUGACUAUUCAUGGCUUUAAGACCUUAAAUCGAUUUAGCAUUUAGUUAAAUUACUGCACAAUGUGGUAUGGUGCAACAUUGGAUGCCCAGUUUGGUAACGUAGUGCACAUUUCGUGCAGAGAGAGAAAGCGACCAAUGCUAUCACUGCCUUCUAAGCUUCAAGUUCAAAUCAUUGGACGCAUAUGCAGCGGUUUGAAGGCGAUAAGGAGAUUGAAUUGAAAGGAGAUGCGGCACACAUAUUUCGGUUCACAAUCCGUGUGGAUGUAUGACACUUCUUUAUUGAAAUCAACCGCAGGGGGAAGUGUCGUUAAAGAGAAAACGAGGAUGUGAUUUCCCCCUGGGUGAAUUUGAUAUUCAUGUGGGUAAACUCACCCAGUCCGACUUUUCCAAGAGCCCUCUUGAAGCACAUGGGAAAGAUCUGUGUAGGGGAGGUACAGGAGCAUGGCUGACCGUCUGGACUAUUCCAGUGAAGCUCGGUCCAGACAAGAAUCGGCUUCCUAGCCGUCACAUCUCGACCAGAGCCUAAGCUCCUCUCAGACACACUCCUGCUUCACCAGCUCCCUGAAAUCAAUGCUACAUUAUUUCUAUCAUGGGAUGCGUCAAAUCCAAGAAGAGCGAUCCGACCCAGUACGCCAACUCGGUGGAGAAGGUGGACGGCAAGCUUGGGAAGCGAUGGGGCGAGAAUGCGCUGCUGGUCCACUCUGAGACGGGGUCAGGGAAAGACUCUGCCCGGGUGGACCCCAUCCUGCUGGAGUAUGCCCAGCGGCUGUCGGAGGAGAUUGUGGCCCGGGCAGUGCAGCAGUGGCUGGAGGUGGACAGCCGCUACAGUGACAUCCCCUACAUCGAGUGUGACGUGCCAUGAGGGGAGGGGGCAGGCAGUGCAAGAGGCAUUUCUGUUCUGGGAUUCACCUUGACCCUCUGGGGAGAGAGAGACAAAUGGAUGCCCAGAAGACAGGAGACCAGACAGCACUCAGAUUCAGGGUGAAACAAAAAACACUACGAACAUGUACCAGCUGGAGAUGACAGUUUAUCCCAAUCUAUGGUCCAAAGCCAUUUUUCUGUUUAAUUAAUACAUACUUGGAUGUUGUAACUCAUUUGGUGACAUUUUGACCUUGACUAACAGACAAAGACCUUGGCUACUCCUCUCAUAUUCAAUCUAGACCAUGUGCUUCCCUCCAUCGUUAGCUGGAGGAUGAGAGUUGGGGUGGGUUUGGUUAAACCGUCUUGGGAGCCAAUAAAGCAGGAGAGUAUCAUUGAAUCCUGCUUUGAAAAUUACCGGUUCUGCCUUUCAGUAAAAUUAUACCGUUUUUGUUGUUGUUGCUUGACGCGUGUCAUCCUGGGGCCAAAUUUCAGGUCCUAUGUAGGAAGUUAUUAAUAGGCCCCUCAAGUGGCCAGUGUUUUUCACUUGAAAUGUUUGCUGGGAUCAGCAGCUACACACCUCCCUCUCCAUCUGUCUUCCCAGACAGAAGCUCCCAGUUUAGGGUUAUUGGAUAAUGGCGUCCCAGGGGGCCUGUGGUCCACAUCCACCAACAAAGGAAACUCAUUCUUCAAACUACCCAUGAAGUAGGUCCGGGACGAUACCAGUAUCGCGAUAUUCGUUAGUAUCGGGGCAAGGAAACAAAACAUGAAGCGAAUUUAACUUCAGCCCUAAUGUUGGAAACAAAAAUAAUUAUGUUGUCCCAUUCAUUUAUUUUCCAAGCUAUAGCACACAAUAUUUUACAUACAGCAGGUUUUUAAAGGACCAAAGAGCUUCGUGUUUUUAUUUUUGCCAUGGAAAGAAUAUCGCGAUACGGGUAUUGUCCCGGCCCUACCAUUAAGCAUGUUUGACCACGAGCUGCAGCAACCGAGGACCUGACUACGGUCACUUUGACAAAAUGAUGCUCUAGGAAUGUUUUACAGAGGUUCAGCGUCCUCCCAUUUUGUGCAUUUGAAUGCCAAUGACAAUAGGACAUUCCUGAGGGCUGGCUAGGUCCGCAUGCCAUGAGUAAAUCAGGACAUUAGGACGGAUUCACACACUUUUACCGGGACUUUGCUUCUGGGCACAAAAAGAGUGCUGGGUUCACAAAUACCUUUUGUUUUGGCCAAAAAUGUCUAGGGCCAAGCACCCUGGUUUUUACUUACUGUAUUCUAUCCAAUGAUGAACUACUGCCAUCUGCCCCAUAGAAUUUACAGCAGAAAUAUGCAACUCUAAAAGGCCAUGCUAUUUUUAUUAAGAGCAAAUGGCAUCUUAAUUGUAUGAUGCUAUUUUAACAGGCCAAAGACACACAUACUCACAACAGAGAGUUGAGUUGUUUGGAAUAAGGGGACCACAACUGCCAAAGUCCUUAAUGAAUGCGAAUACAAGCACAAUAUGUUUGACGGGCUUUCUUACGACGUUUAUUCAAUAGAAGGCGAUAUCAGUGCGUUUUAGUCAUAAGCACGUCAGUUCCCACCCUACCACAAACGAUGUUCAAGAAGCUCUAAAAAAGGUGCAUUAGUCUAGGCUGGGCAACAUGGUACAUUAACAAGUGGACAUUAUUUCACUGGAAAAUCAAGUUUUGGUGAUGUUUGGAAUGUGUAUCUCAAGUGAGAAUUCAGCUGCCAGGGCAUUAGGUUUGCUCAGCAAAAAAAUGUGGUGGUUGUGUGCUUUAACCGCUACACCAAAAACUCCAUUACAGUUAAAAGCAACAAAUACUGUUUAUAACGACAUUUGCACUAAUCUGGGUUGAGAGAUUAAUCUCUUGAACCAUCCCAAAAAUUCUGUAAACAAAUUGAAAAGCCUGUCGAAUGCCUCCCAGUCGAAACAGUUUGCGCGUAUAUUGCAACAACAUUUUGUGACGUUAUUCUUUGUUUUGGCUGUUUUUUGUUGUUGUCUGUUUGCGCACACAAACAUUUUUUUCUUGAGGCAAGUUGAAGUUUGGUAGCCCAAGUAUAUGCCCCUUCGUCGGUGAUUGGUCAACAGUACUACUCCUAGUAGCGGUGGGAACUAUAGACAGGAUUCUUCAAAUUUCAUGCACAUUUUCUCACUUGAGAAAUACUGCACCAAACAUCUUAGUUAGAUGUAAAAUUACUAAGACCUCCUCAGCAAAAAUGCCAACAUUAAUUACUAAUAAUUCUUGAUUUAUCUUCGAUGAAUUCUGACUCUUUUGAGGAAGUGUUAUUGGCUAAGUUGUUGCUACGGCAUCUCAAGAGGGACAAACCGUAAUAUUGCUGUUUUUUUCUUGUUUUUCAAGCGAAGGUCUUUUUAAGGGAGUUUGCUAGUAGCAAACCAAACCUAGUUUGCAGGCCCAUUUAGCAGUGACCCAAUUUUUUUCCCCAUACUGAAUUCCUAAAUCUAAAAACUGGGAGGUGGAGGGUUUAGAAACAGAUCACUGUUAUCACUGCUUCAGCUAAAUGUUGUAACAACUUAUAGAUAAAGCUGCAAAAAACAAUACAUUCAAAAGUUGAUUCCCAUCAAGCUUGAGUUUGACUCCAGUAAAUUGGUUGAUAAAAGUAAUGUUUUACUAUGCAGAAAUAAUAAUAUAUGCCAUUUAGCAGACGCUUUUAUCCAAAGCGACUUACAGUCAUGUGUGCAUACAUUCUACGUAUGGGUGGUCCCGGGAAUCGAACCCACUACCCUGGCGUUACAAGCGCCAUGCUCUACCAACUGUGCUACAGAAGGACUAUAUUAUUAUUAUUAUAUAUAUUAUUAUUAUUAUUAUUAUUAUAUAUUAUAUAUUAUUAUUAUUAUAUAUUACUAUGCAGAAGACAACUAGUACUACAGUAUAUAAUGUAUACAAUGCAUUCGGAAAGUAUUCCGACGCCUAGACCUUUUCCACAUUUUGUUACGUUACAGCCAUAUUCUGAAAUGGUUUAAAUUUAUUUUUUAUUUUUAUCUACACACAAUACCCCUUAAUGACAUAGCAAAAACAGGUUUUUAGUCUUGAGUCUUCUUGGCUAUGACGCUACAAGCUUGGCACACAUGUAUUUGGGGAGUUUCUCCCAUUCUUCUCUGCAGAUCCUCACAAGCUCUCAGGUUGGAUGGGGAGCAUCGAUGCACUGCUAUGUUCAGGUCUCUCUCCAGAGUUCGAUCUGGUUCAAGAAUCAUUCAAGGACAUUCAGAGACUUGUUCCGAAGCCACUCCUGCAUUGUCUUGGCUGUGUGCUUAGGGUCAUUGUCCUGUUGGAAGGUGAACCUUCACUCCAGUCUGAGGUCCUGAGUGCUCUGGAGCAGGUUUUCAUCAGGGAUUUCUCUGUACUUUGCUCCAUUUAUCUUUCCCUCAAUUCUGACUAGUCUCCCAGUCCCUGCCCCUGAAAAACAUCCCCACAGCAUGAUACUGCCACCCCCAUGCUUCAACGUAGGGAUGAUGCCAGGUUUCCUUCAGACGUGACGCUUGGCAUUCAGGCCAAAGAGUUCAAUCUUGGUUUUCAUCAGACCAGAGAAUCUUGUUUCUCUUAGUCUGAGUCCUUUAGGUGCCUUUAGGCAAACAUGUGCCUUUUACUGAGGAGUGGCUUUGUCUGGCCACUCUACCAUAAAGGCCUGAUCGGUGGAGUGCUGCAGAGAUGGUUGUGCUUCUGGAAGGUUCUCCUAUCUCCACAGGGGAACUCUGGAGCUCUGUCAGAGUGACCAUCGGGUUCUUGGUCACCGCCCUUCUCUCCCGAUUGCUCAGGCCAGCUCUAGGAAGAUUCUUGGUGGUUCCAAACUUCUUCCAUUUAAUAAUUAUGGAGGCCACUGUGUUCUUGGGGACCUUCAAUGCUACAGACAUUUUUUGCUACCCUUCCCUAGAUCUGUGCCUUGACACAAUACUGUCUCGGGGCUCUAUGGACAAUUCCUUCGACAUCAUGGAUUGGUUUUUGCUCUGACACGCACUGUCAACCGUGGGACAGGUGUGUGCCUUUUCAAAUCAUGUCCAAUCAAUUGAAUUUACCACAGGUGGACGCCAAUCAAGUUGUAGAAACAUCAAGGAUGAUCAAUGGAAACAGGAUGCACCUGAGCUUAAUUUCGAGUCUCAUAGCAAAGUGUCUGAAUACUUAUGUAAAUUAUAUAUUUAGUUUGCUUUAUACAUUUGCAAAACAUUUGAUAAACCUGUUUUUGCUUUGUCAUUGUGGGGUAUUGUGUGUAAAUUGAUGAGGGAAAAUAAUGUAUUUAUCCAUUUUAGAGUAAGGCUGUAACGUAACAAUGUGGAAAAAGUCAAGGGGUCUGAACUUUCCGAGUGCACUGUAUUUCAUAAUAAUAAAACGGUGAUAGCCUUCUAAGUUACGUCGAACACAGAAAUACAAUGCUUUGGAUUAUGGUCAAUGUUGCAGUUCACAAUGCUUCCAGCUUGAAUGAAAUACAAGGUAUACCAACGUAUGUACAAUCUAGGUAUACCUGGAUUCUUUCCUUCGAAAUAUGUCAGUAUCGGUAACCAUGGCAAAAUUACAGUAACAUCAGUCUUUCAAUCAACCCUUUAGUUUGAUUAUGAACAAAAUGUGUUUUCUGUUGGGAGAUCCUAAUGCUUCCUUUGAAUCUAUAUAUUUAUAUAAUAUUCAUUUCACCUGCAGCACUGUACAGGUCUGUAAAUAACUCACUGAUUAAAAAACGUGAAUAACAAUAAAGCUGAAAUCUAUGCCUUCUA